rnacentral:rRNA from 1 species
UGAGGAACAUGACCUUCGGCGGGGGAUAGCCGGCCCAACGGCCGGGUAAUACCGCGUACGACCACAUGGGGACAUCCCUGAGUGGUGAAAGCAGCAAUGCGCCGAUGGAGUGCCUCGCGGCCUAUCAGCUAGUUGGUGAGGUAACGGCUCACCAAGGCGACGACGGGUANCUGGUCUGAGAGGACGACCAGCCACACUGGAACUGAGAUACGGUCCAGACCUCCGUAGGACGG